rnacentral:rRNA from 1 species
GACGAACGCUGGCGGCGUGCUUAACACAUGCAAGUCGAACGGAAAGGCCCCUUUGGGGGUACUCGAGUGGCGAACGGGGGAGUAACACGUGAGUAACCGGCCCUUGACUUCGGGAUAACUUCAGGAAACUGGGGCUAAUACCGGAUAGGAAUCCUUGCUGCAUGGUGGGGGGUGGAAAGCUUCGGCGGUUUUGGAUGGACUCGCGGCUUAUCAGCGUGUUGGUGGGGUAGUGGCUUACCAAGGCUUUGACGGGUAGCCGGCCUGAGAGGGCGACCGGCCACAUUGGGACUGAGAUACGGCCCAGACUCCUACGGGAGGCAGCAGUGGGGAAUAUUGCACAAUGGGCGGCAGCCUGAUGCAGCAACGCCGCGUGCGGGAUGACGGCCUUCGGGUUGUAAACCGCUUUCAGCAGGGGCGAAGCUUGUGGUGACGGUACCUGCAGAAGAAGCACCGGCUAACUACGUG